rnacentral:rRNA from 1 species
UACGUAGGCCGCGAGCGUUGUUCGGAGUUACUGGGCGUAAAGGGUGUGUAGGCGGCUGUUUAAGUUUGGUGUGAAAUCUCCCGGCUCAACUGGGAGGGUGCGCCGAAUACUGAAUGACUUGGAGUGCGGGAGAGGAAAGUGGAAUUCCUGGUGUAGCGGUGAAAUGCGUAGAUAUCAGGAGGAACAUCAGUGGCGAAGGCGACUUCCUGGACCAAUACUGACGCUCAGGUGCGAAAGCGUGGGGAGCAAACAGG